rnacentral:rRNA from 1 species
CCUACGGGAGGCAGCAGUGAGGAAUAUUGGUCAAUGGUCGGGAGACUGAACCAGCCAAGCCGCGUGAGGGAUGAAGGUACAGAGUAUCGUAAACCUCUUUUGUCAGGGAACAAAGGCGGGGACGUGUCCCCGGCUGAGUGUACCUGACGAAAAAGCAUCGGCUAACUCCGUGCCAGCAGCCGCGGUAAUACGGAGGAUGCGAGCGUUAUCCGGAUUUAUUGGGUUUAAAGGGUGCGCAGGCGGUCUGUUAAGUCAGCGGUCAAAGCCCGGGGCUCAACCCCGGCCCGCCGUUGAAACUGGCAGUCUCGAGUUGGAGAGAAGUAGGCGGAAUGCGCGGUGUAGCGGUGAAAUGCAUAGAUAUCGCGCAGAACUCCGAUUGCGAAGGCAGCAUGCCGGCUCCAAACUGACGCUGAGGCACGAAAGCGUGGGUAUCGAACAGGAUUAGAUACCCGGGUAGUC